UUGGAGAGUUUGAUCCUGGCUCAGGAUGAACGCUGGCGGCGUGCCUAAUACAUGCAAGUCGAGCGAACAGAUAAGGAGCUUGCUCCUUUGACGUUAGCGGCGGACGGGUGAGUAACACGUGGGUAACCUACCUAUAAGACUGGAAUAACUCCGGGAAACCGGGGCUAAUGCCGGAUAACAUUUAGAACCGCAUGGUUCUAAAGUGAAAGAUGGUUUUGCUAUCACUUAUAGAUGGACCCGCGCCGUAUUAGCUAGUUGGUAAGGUAACGGCUUACCAAGGCAACGAUACGUAGCCGACCUGAGAGGGUGAUCGGCCACACUGGAACUGAGACACGGUCCAGACUCCUACGGGAGGCAGCAGUAGGGAAUCUUCCGCAAUGGGCGAAAGCCUGACGGAGCAACGCCGCGUGAGUGAUGAAGGUCUUCGGAUCGUAAAACUCUGUUAUUAGGGAAGAACAAAUGUGUAAGUAACUGUGCACGUCUUGACGGUACCUAAUCAGAAAGCCACGGCUAACUACGUGCCAGCAGCCGGGGUAAUAA
rnacentral:rRNA from 1 species